UUCGUCUCGCUCUGGAUCCGCUACGACUCUUGGAAAAGAAGCUCGCUCAUGAGGCCUACCUCGACCCUUCGGAAAUCAAAUACAUAUUUAAAAUCUUCAUUUUGUAAAACAAAAAAAACCCAGUUAAAACGAGUUAUUUUUCGAACUUUUUAAAGAAUAUGUCGAAGUUACUGUUACUUUACAACAACAUUUAGUUUUUUACGGGACUAUGCAAGAAUCCUCAGUCUCAAGUGGGAACCAUGCCGGCGCGAUCAGUGUUAUUUUAAGUACAACAACUGGGAAAAUCCGAUAAAAGCCUGCGGUGUUUAAUACAAUAACGGUGAAAGACUUUACCGUAAUUCAAACGGGAAACCUUGAAAUACUAGUUUUUAGAGCACAUCUCGUUAGUAAUUUGUUAUGUAAAUUGAUUAUUUUUCUGAAAUAGGGACGAGAUUGGAAGGCCACGUUUAAAACGAAGUGUCACAGUCUGGCUUUAGCGUUAACUACGCGUUAGCCUAAAUCAGGGGUCGACAAUCCUGUGCUUGGAGUGCCGCAGAAAACAAGAUUUUGUUCCAAUUAGGCACCACACCUGAGCAACAACUAAUUGAUCAGUUUGGCGAUUGCCCAAAUUCAACACGCCUGGUUUUCGAGGUCAGUUAAAUGGAGAACAUGAAGUGCCUACGGCACUCCAGGACCAGGGUUGCCUACCCCUGGCUAAGUAGUUAGCACGAUGUAGCUAAUGUUAGAUGGCUAGCUAACAGCUAACGUCGUUACCCCUUUGUGGGCACUGUAAAACCCGCCAUUGAGUUGUCUGUAAAUAACGAUGGAAAAUGAGCAAUGAAUGUUAUGUUUUACAUAUUAUUUUAGCGCUGUUUUGUUUUAAAUGUCACCGAGUACAAUAUAGACGCAUUGGCUAGCUAGCUAGUGUUUCAUAUUUUUAAGUAGGAUAAAAAAUCUAGCUAAGCUCAAGCAAAAUGGCCCCAAGAGCGACCAGGUAGUUAACUAGCCAACCUCAGUCAUUAGCUACCCUGUUGGUCAGUUGUAUAAAUACGUUAGAUAAGUUUGUAAAUUCAUAGAAAAGAGGAUGGCAUUGAGUUUGUUAGUUUUGAUACAGUAACGAUAGUUGGCUACCGGACUGCUUAAAUUAUUUGUACACGUUGCGUGUUAGCUCAGUUGGCAUGUAAGUUAUACAACAUGGUCGAAACACUGGUGGACAUAGCUAGUUGUCUGUCUGGCGCUCGGACGGAGCAGUUAGCUAGCAACUCAUGACAUUCUCUGGUCGUUGAUCUCGAUAUCGUUGCUAUACAUUUAUUUCGUUGGAUACUUGACUUAAUUACUGUAAUUUUUUGGACCAUGACCUCCCUUACUUGCUAGCUACUACUACCUAGCGUUGUACAGUCAACGUUAGUCGUCUCAACAUGGCGGUGUUGUGGCUAGUGCUUGUGUUUCUUGUUGGCGAGAAAAAUGGAGUCCUGUAAGCUACCAGAGAAACUGAAUGUUAGCGUUCAAGCCGAUCAUUUGUUGGAUAUACUUUUAAAUAGUGGAAGAUGUUGUAUAACGUUGACAGCUUACAUAUUCAGGUACCAUCUAAAUUAUGUUCUCAGUGAAAGUACUAACUAGAUAGCGAGCUAUUUCUCAGUUUCACGAAUUGCCUGUCAUUAGGAUGAAGGAGAAAAAAAAUGUAUGCCCUCACUAACUGUAAGUCGCUCUGGUUAAGCGCGUCUGCUAAAUGGUAAAAAUGUAAAAUUAGGUACCAGAGGUGUUUUCACCAUGGAAGGACCUGGUUGUUGCCACUGACUGGCUCGGGAGUGGACCAGCCACUGUUUACAUUGUUCACAAAACUGUAGCUACAGAACAUUUCCACAAUACCAAGAGGUCUUCAACUGAAUAUGUACACCUAAAAGCUGCUGUAACAUAUUGUAGAAUGUUGUCCCCCUCUAACCACAUUUUUGUUUGUUCUUGCAUGAGUAUGUAGCCUAAAGUAAAGCCAGGAUGUCUUUUUUUAAAGACUAGAGCAAGUAGGUUUAACAGGGAAGUUGUUACAGAUAUAUGAUCACAUGUAUUGCACUGCACCUGUUGAUUUUAAACGGCAUGUCCAUAAACCAAUCAAUUUGCAUUACCGAUUUGCAAAUACUUUUCUUAGUAGCUAGGCUCUUCUGUAUACAGCUCCUUUUUAAACUAUAGAAUAGUAGUUGCAAAUGUACACCCCCAUUGUUGAAAUGAACUGAUUGUAACUGUAUUUUCUUCUUUAAAGUAAUAAAGAAAUUAGAGUUACUUAUUGA